rnacentral:rRNA from 1 species
UAACACGGGGGUUGCAAGCGUUGUCCGGAAUUACUAGGCGUAAAGGGCAGGUAGGCGGAUAGAUAAGUUUUUUGUCAAAGGCGACGGCUCACCCGUCGUAUGGCAGGAGAUACUGUUUAUCUGGAAUGCGGUUGGGGAAGACAGAAUUCCUGGUGUAGCGGUGGAAUGCGCAGAGAUCAGGAGGAAUACCGAAGGCGAAGGCAGUCUUCUAAGCCGUUAUUGACGCUAAACUGCGAAGGUGUGGGUAUCAAACAGGAUUAGAUACCCUGGUAGUCCACACAGUAAACGAUAAUCACUAGGUGUCGGUGUCGUAGAGACUUCGGUGCCGUAGCUAACGCGAUAAGUGAUUCGCCUGGGGAGUACGAUCGCAAGGUUGAAACUCAAAGGAAUUGACGG